UUCCUUCCGAAGAGUACAAUGUGGAAAAGGGGAAAAGAGGUUAAUUUUACACUGAAGAAAUCACACAUAUAACAUCUUAGCCAGAUAAUCAAGGUCAAGUCAUAAAUCAUGUUGACAGUAUGGACCCUUGGCAUGGUGUGAUAAGAAUGGCACUUCAUCCCUGGACAUUCUUAUCUAAAACCCAUAACCACAGCCUAAUCAUGAGAAAAACACCAAAUUCCAACAGAAGGGCGUCCUACAAAAAUGCCUGACCAGUAGUCCUCAAAACUAUUAAGUUCAUCAAAACAAUGAAAUUCUGAGAAACUGUCAUAGCCAAUAGAACCCUAAAGACAAAUGACGACUACAUGUAAUGUGGUAUUCUGGAUGGAAUCCUAGAACAGAGAAAGAACAUUAAGUAAAAACCAAGGAAACCAGAGUAAAUACAGAUAUUAACAUCUGGAAGCUGAAGCUCGUAGAAGGGAAAUAAUGAAAAUAUUUAACACUGAGUUGAGUGUUUAUACUAUGCCAAGCACUGAUCUUGGUUGUUAGUUAUGUGAACUCAUUCAGUACUCACAGCAACACUAGAAGGAAGGUAAAGAUAUUACCCAGUGAGGACAUGGAGCAAUGAGAGGUCUCAUAGCCUAGUCAAGAUCUCACAAGAACAGGAGAAGCAGUAGAAAAGUGGGGAUGCAAACCCAGCAAGACCAGAGACAGAGCACAUGGGCUUGUCCUCUGUGAUCAUCUGCCUCCCUGUAUAUGUGGCAGAAGCAGAACUGAAAAGCCGUUCUGUAGAUCCCAGGACUUCCCUACCAUCCUGUUAGUCCGUAUUAUUCCUGCUAUAAGUGAU
rnacentral:lncRNA from 1 species